UUGAAACAAGGAACUACGCCGAGAAUUACAGAGGAGAAGGCACGGCAAGAGAAAUCCUAAAACUAGGGUUUGUGUUUGGAGAAGAAUUUCUGAAGGAGAUGAAUUUGUUUUUCUGCGGCCAAGAGCGACCCUUUCACGUCCCCCACUCCUCAUACAUAUAGAGAACAUAUGAACAGCUGCUAUUAGGGUUAGAGAACCUUUAAUUUUCGUCCAUGGGCUCGCCGUUGUGGUCUGGGCCUUGAAAUUGAAGUUCCGGUCCAAAUCAGAAAUUCGGGCAGACUGACCUUUGGUCACUCAAACGGUCAUAACUUGGUCACCAAAAUAGCUAUUGACGAUCUGCGAAAAGUUCUGAAAACUAGACUCUUCUAGCUUUCUGUUGAUAUAAAGUUCAUCUCCUGGAUCGUUGUGAGCUGAUCACAAUUCUCUGUCGAAGUUGACUGACUAUUCCUGGCAGAUUUUCUGAUUUCUUUCCUUGCGCCAUAUGGAUUCCUUUUCCUUCAAGAUUUCUCCUCUUUUGCCUCUUUUGUGCUCCUCGGCUUUAUU
rnacentral:lncRNA from 1 species